UUGUGGAGGAGGACGCCGAAGGUGGGGCUAAUGACUGGGGUGAAGUCGUAACAAGGUAGCCGUACCGGAAGGUGCGGCUGGAUCACCUCCUAACAGGGAGACAACAAAAUGUUUAAUAUUAUUAUUUUGUCACCUUAGGUCGAUCGGUAUCUCACGUUUUUAAUUUAUUAAGAAUUUCAUUUCCUAAGUUUUUCUAGGUCACACCCAUUAUUUUUCCUGGGCCAUUAGCUCAGGUGGUUAGAGCGCACCCCUGAUAAGGGUGAGGUCCCUGGUUCAAGUCCAGGAUGGCCCAUAUCUCUAUGUUGGGGGUAUAGCUCAGUUGGUAGAGCGCCUGCUUUGCAAGCAGGAUGUCAGCGGUUCGAGUCCGCUUACCUCCACUGAUUACCACCUCUUCCAUAAUUGGUAAAAAGGAAAUGUUUUGCUUUGUGACCAAAUUCUGAAAGAAUCUAGCUUCCUAAUUAAAUCAUUAAGAUGCUGGACUCAUUGAAUUAAUUUCAUUGUUUUCAGAGAACCUUGACAACUGCAUAGAUUAUUUUUAAAGACAAUAAGCAUCUUUAAUGAUGCAGAUUUAUUAUUUGUGCGAAUGCAUUAAUAACAAUUCUAUUAAGCUGAUGCUUCAAUUUUGAAGUUAUUGGUCAAGCUACAA
rnacentral:misc_RNA from 1 species